UACGUAGGGUGCAAGCGUUAAUCGGAAUUACUGGGCGUAAAGCGUGCGCAGGCGGUCUUGCAAGACAGAUGUGAAAUCCCCGGGCUCAACCUGGGAACUGCAUUUGUGACUGCAAGGCUAGAGUACGGUAGAGGGGGAUGGAAUUCCGCGUGUAGCAGUGAAAUGCGUAGAGAUGUGGAGGAACACCGAUGGCGAAGGCAGCCCCCUGGGAUAACACUGACGCUCAUGCACGAAAGCGUGGGGAGCAAACAGG
rnacentral:rRNA from 1 species